UUCCAUCAAAGUGAGGGCAACCUAACCUGUAACUUUUCUCUUGGAGCAUUCCUAACUGGUGAUGUUGUCAGGAGGUAUGGUGUGAGACUGCUGGAGGUAUAAGGACUUCAAAGGGUUCUUUAGGAGGGAACCUUGGGUGUGGUCUCCCGAACACACCCUUUCAUCGAUCUUGUAUAACAGCGUUUACCACAGCAGGGUUGCCAAAAUAUUGCUCAAACAAACCAUAAGCUUAGAUAUAAGAUGUUGAAGUUUAUAUCUGAUUUCCCCUUUAAAUCAUCUUUGAAUCCUUGUAGUCGAGUUUCUAGCUUUGCA
rnacentral:lncRNA from 1 species